rnacentral:lncRNA from 1 species
UCCAUUGGUCUUUUUGUGUUUUUCUACCCACCUUUAUCUCCGUGACGGUGAGAUAUCGUGAUGUUCUUACUGGGCUAGUGUAGCUCACUCCUUAAUUAACCAUUUCAGAUCAGGAAGACAUGGUUCCCGAGCCCGUUCCGCAGGAGGACGACGAAGGGGAUGCCUAGAGACUCUGUAGUCAUACGCAUAGUUUAUUUUCGAGUUUUCUUUCUUAGUUAGUUUAACCUUUUAUAUUUUAAGUACGUUUUUGAUUUUUCGUGUAAGGGAUGUUAACUGAAAUUUUGAUCUCGCUUCCGCAUUCGAUAUAUUUAAAUACUCAUUUCUUUUUUUAAUAUUUCCGGGGCCGUUACAGUUGGUAUCAGAGCCGCAUUUCCUCGGACCCAUCCCUUACACUAUAGUCCUUUAAAAAAAAAAUAAAAAAAAAUACUCACCGAUGGGUCGUUACUCAACCAUUCCUUGUAAAUGCAGGUACACAGAAAUGAGGAGAGGAAGGCCCCCACUAAACCGAGCGGCCCAAGAUAAUUCGCUUCGGGAGGAUUUGGACAGAUUAUAUGAGAUGGUGGAAGCUCUCGUAGCUGCCCAGCGAAGGCAAGAGGAGAGAAGGGAGUUACCCGGACCUCCUCCGCUAGCGCAGGUUGAGCCCCCGUUACAGCAGGCUGAUCCCGAGCCACCCCGGCAGGAGCCUGUUCCUCCACAGUACCACCCGGCACCACAGCCGCGGUACGACCCGGUACCACAGCCACAGUACCAACAGGUACCGCCACAGCAUAUUCCAG